CCGGGCUGGCUUUCGACCCCGACCUUAUUAUGGGAUGUCCCUGUAGGGCAUGGAGAAGGGAUGCAGGGCGGCGAAGCGCCGGUCGUGCCACAGCAGCUUCUGCUGCAGGAACUGCAGGGCGGGCACUGUCAGCACCAGGGAGCGGUGCUUCAGGAUGCUGUGCACGUUCAGCCCUAUGGCGGGGAUGAGGGUGAAGGUUUU
rnacentral:lncRNA from 1 species